UACAGAGGUGGCAAGCGUUGUCCGGAAUCAUUGGGCGUAAAGCGCACGUAGGCGGCUUUGUCAGUCAGGGGUGAAAUCCCGGGGCUCAACCUCGGAACUGCCUUUGAUACAGCAAGUCUUGAGUUCGAGAGAGGUGGGUGGAAUUCCUAGUGUAGAGGUGAAAUUCGUAGAUAUUAGGAAGAACACCGGUGGCGAAGGCGGCCCACUGGCUCGAUACUGACGCUGAGGUGCGAAAGCGUGGGGAGCAAACAGG
rnacentral:rRNA from 1 species